CCUACGGGAGGCAGCAGUGAGGAAUAUUGGUCAAUGGGCGCAAGCCUGAACCAGCCAUGCCGCGUGCAGGAUGACGGUCCUAUGGAUUGUAAACUGCUUUUGUACAGGAAGGAACACUCCCUCGUGAGGGAGCUUGACGGUACUGUAAGAAUAAGGAUCGGCUAACUCCGUGCCAGCAGCCGCGGUAAUACGGAGGAUCCAAGCGUUAUCCGGAAUCAUUGGGUUUAAAGGGUCCGUAGGCGGUUUUAUAAGUCAGUGGUGAAAUCUGGUCGCUCAACGAUCAAACGGCCAUUGAUACUGUAAGACUUGAAUUACUUGGAAGUAACUAGAAUAUGUAGUGUAGCGGUGAAAUGCUUAGAGAUUACAUGGAAUACCAAUUGCGAAGGCAGGUUACUACAAGUAUAUUGACGCUGAUGGACGAAAGCGUGGGGAGCGAACAGGAUUAGAUACCCUGGUAGUCCACGCCGUAAACGAUGGAUACUAGCUGUUGGUAGCAUCUGAGUAGGUUAGUAGAAGUAGAGUAAGUAGUCCGACCGUCGGGAGGUACGUCGUCGCGAGAGUAGAACGUUACGAAGGAAGUUAGACGGCGNGAGACGNGCGACGGACGACGACGAGGGAGGAGG
rnacentral:rRNA from 1 species